rnacentral:rRNA from 1 species
ACCUCGGUGGUCUAGUGGCGGACGGGUGAGUAAUACAUGGGAAUCUGCCUUUUAGUGGGGGAUAACGUAGGGAAACUUACGCUAAUACCGCAUACGCUCCACGGAGGAAAGGGGGGGAUCGCAAGACCUCUCGCUAAAAGAUGAGCCCAUGUCUGAUUAGCUAGUUGGUGGGGUGAGGGCCUACCAAGGCGACGAUCAGUAGCCGGCCUGAGAGGGUGUACGGCCACACUGGGACUGAGACACGGCCCAGACUCCUACGGGAGGCAGCAGUGGGGAAUAUUGGACAAUGGGCGAAAGCCUGAUCCAGCAAUGCCGCGUGUGUGAAGAAGGCCUUCGGGUUGUAAAGCACUUUAAGUGGGAAAGAAGUGCAUUCAAUUAAUACCUGGAUGUAUUGACGUUACCCACAGAAUAAGCACCGGCUAACUCCGUGCCCGGCAGCCGCGGUAAUACGGAGGGUGCAA